GACGAACGCUGGCGGCGUGCUUAACACAUGCAAGUCGAACGGUAAGGCCCUUCGGGGUACACGAGUGGCGAACGGGUGAGUAACACGUGGGUGAUCUGCCCUGCACUUCGGGAUAAGCCUGGGAAACUGGGUCUAAUACCGGAUAGGACUCCUGCCUGCAUGGGUGGGGGUGGAAAGCUUUUGCGGUGUGGGAUGGGCCCGCGGCCUAUCAGCUUGUUGGUGGGGUGAUGGCCUACCAAGGCGACGACGGGUAGCCGGCCUGAGAGGGUGACCGGCCACACUGGGACUGAGGUGCGGCCCAGACUCCUUCGGGACGCAGGAGUGGGGAAUAUUGCACAGUGGGUGCAAGCCGGAUGCAGCGACGCCGCGUGAGGGAUGACGGCCUUCGGGUUGUAAACCUCUUUCAGCACAGACGAAGCGCAAGUGACGGUAUGUGCAGAAGAAGGACCGGCCAAGUACGUGCCAGCCGCCGCCGUAA
rnacentral:rRNA from 1 species